GACGCCUCGGCCUGGCGUGGGCCAUAAAUCCCGGUGUCUGAAAUUUGACGUGGCUGUUCCAAGGAGCAGGCGUCCUCAAGUGAUUGAUUCUCCGCCAACUUCGGCGAGGCUGACAACGGCGCUAAAGUGAAGCGGACUGUCCCAUCUGAUGUUUGGCAGUGGUACUGGCCCUCCUGCACAGGCUCAGCAGAAGGGACAACGAGUCUCCUCAAAGUGCCGUUGCUCUGUAUGUCCUGCUCUUUGUGCGGAAAGAGCUUCAUGCCAUCUUUAUACCACUGUGCAGGCAACACGGAGUCUGCCACCUCACAUUCCAGCACCAAAGACACCUGAGUGGUGCAUCUCUGCGUCCCGAACAACCAAAGUCCUUGUGGUUCCAUCCAACUGCAUUUCCAGCUCUGAGGUCGAAACGAGCCGGGUUCCAUCCUUGUACCAGUAAACAGGGGCUUCCGGAUCAGAAACCACACACCGUAGUACAACGGGGCCCCCGACUUCAAUCAAUUGGGUCCUCAUUUCUUCAGGGAGCGGACAGAACGUCACCGGUGGAGCUACAGCAGUACAACCCUGAGUGGUAAAAGUCGGCCGAAGGGAUGAUCAACUUCCUCACCAGUCCAUCUGCUUGAAUAUUUACUCCAUUGUGAGGAAAGAGCUUUGAGCCGUCUUUGUACCAGUGCACCUGGGCAUUGUGCUCUGACAGCUCGCAGCGUAAAAGAAUUUGGGAGCCUGCGUGGAUGGUUUUGUUCCUCGCUGCUUCGGGAAUCGCUGAAAAUCUCACAGAUGGGGCUACGGACAUUUGAAUAUACGCCAUUCAUAAAAUGUAGAAAAAGAGGUCAUCCAGCAAAAGUUUUGCAAGACGACCGCUUGAUAAAGAGGAACUCACUUACCCUCGACUUCUACAUUGAACCUGAUGACAUCGUCAAUGGCGUCGCAGCAAUACACUCCUGAAUGUGAGAACUCUGCUGAUUGGAUGACGAUCCUCCUCAUGGUACCCUCUGACUGGAUGUGAAGACCCUCUGUUGUCUGUAAUUCCACCCCGUUCUUGUACCAGUGUACCGGAGCGGCGGGGUCUGAGAUCUCACAAUACAGGACAAUGGGGUUCCCAAUUUCGACAAAUUUGUUUCGAUCCAUUUCUGACAGCAAUGAAAACUUGGCCAGAGGCGCUGUUGAUUGGAAGGAAAAAUCCAUGCCCGUUCGUUAUGAAAAUGGUCUGCAUUUUUGUCCAGUCCAUCCGAGAUGGAGGACAUUUUGAGCCGCUUGAGACGCACUCACCUUGAAUGUACAAGGCAGCUGAAUCCCGAAUGCCGUAUGCAAUAAAAGUUAUUUCGGCUCCAUUUUCGGUGUCUCGAACCCCUUGGAUCCGAAGAGACUGGUGUGUCCUCGAGCGGCGCAUGGAAAAACGCUCAUCGUCCUGAAGCUGCGUUCCAUUUAAGAACCACGAGCCGAUGACCGAUGCGGAUAGUUCAAUGGUGAAGAUUGCAUCUUGUCCUUCUGGAACCAGUGCAUCCUGUAAGGGGGUUUGUAUCCUGGCUACCGGAACUGGAGGGGUAAAAUAAACAGGCGUUACAUCAGAAAUGAUCAACCGUGACAUGAAUCCAUUGAUGAACUCAACUCACCCAGAUGCACUGCUCGAGGGAACUCCACAUUGUUGCUUUUUCCAUAUUUGUUGACGCUACAAAUACGGAACCGAUAAUCGGCCUCACAAGGCACGCUAUCGCCUAGGAUCUCCACCGAGGUAGCCGAGUCGGUGGUCAGGCACUGUAACCACUCUUGUGAACCCGUACCCACUUCCUGUCGCUCCAGUACAUAACCGGAUGGAGGGUUCUUGCGCGAGUCCUGCGCUGGAGUCCAUGAGAGAAGUGCCGCAUUUGCCCGCUCUGUGUUGAUCUGCACACCCACUGGGACACUCGGAGGACAAUGUCUGGCCGCUGAAAGAUUUAUGACAGAAAUGAUGAUUGACAAUCCUUUCUUUUGUGUCGUGACACUGUCAUUGACCGGACCCUACCCUUGACUCUGAGCUGAGAGGAAGUCUUGGAUCGCCCCACAAAGAAGGUCACAAAGCCAGAGUCUUGGGGCAUCGUGUUGACAAAAACUAGAAUAUGAGUCUGACCAAAAGACUUCAAGAUGGUCUGAUGCGUUUCACGCAGCUCCACGCCAUCUUUAUACCAGUGUAUGUCCAUCUCUUCUUUCUCCACUUCAACGCAAAAGGCAGCAUUUUCACCUUCCAAAACAUCCACUUUCCUUGGAAGCUUUCGCAUAAUUGGACCUAGAGAGACAUAGUGUGAUGAAAACGCACGUCAGAUCUAAUGACAACACGACAAUCAAACAAACAAACAUUCCUGCGGUGAGGAGGAAAUGCAAGACCCAGAGACCAAAUUGAAGCCGAACCACAACGGAUUGCAAGCAACAAUGAUUACCUGCCGUUAUUUUGUGCUUCUCCAUGCCAACCGAUUGCGGCUUACCUUUCACUGCCACCUCAGCGAUGCUUCGUCCGCCAUCUGGCAUUUCGCACAGGUAAAUCCCGUCAUCAUCAACACCGAUGUCACGGAUUGUAAGCCUGCGCUUUGUUCCCCACUCCUCCAUUCCAUAUUUGGCUCCUGGUUGUAGUCGUCGAUCCUCCAGGUACCAUGUGAUUGGGACAGAGUCCUCUGGGACUUCACACUCAAGAACAGCUAAGUCCCUUUCCCAUACCUCCAGAUCGAUGAGCGGCUGCUUGAACCGCACAGGUGGCUCUGGCACCAGAAAAAAAAAGUGGGUACGGCGUUGUGCGAACACAAAAAGAGCAACAUUAUCAGACUCAUUUUGAUGAGGAAACUGGAAGGUCAUCGCCACAUUGUGCUGGAUGGGAAAUAAACCAAACAAUGUGGACAGCAGGUUAUUUUUAAGCGGUUCGGAAUUAAGCUGAAUGCUACUAGUAACCACUCGUGUCAUGGAGAAGAUUCUUUAAAAUACCGUACAUUACAGUGUGUGCUUUUCGACUGUUUGGAACUCCACAUGAGAAACAUGAUCCCUCGUCGCAUGGUGAUCACACGUUUCCUCCCUUGGUGCCUCCUCACAAGCUUCGGAAGUGACUUUGCAGACAUGAUACCACUGUUAGAAUUUACCUCCUGAUCUCAGCGUACCUUCUUGGACCUAUGUCCCUGACAUUGCUCGAGCAUCAAAUGGCGGGAAAUCCUAUCCAAGGACACACGACACCACCCCUUCCCCCAAGCGCCACCCCAAACACACAUGCACUCACGCACUCCUCCACUACUGAAAUUGUCACAGACUGACAGUCGGUAGACUCGAGUUGUAUGGCUCGACUUUCUGUCCAACGCUGUGCAAACGUGCAUCCCGCCUUUAUGCUACGAUACGGACUGUGAAAGCCACUUCAAGAACCAAAAGGAGAAGGGUAAUAUGCCAGGUUUGCAACUCAAAGAUGAGAGACAUAAGUACUACACCGAAUCUACUCUCAGGCCACCUGUCACUUGACAAUCAACUAAAACAUGUGAGCUGCGUCCACUGGACGGUUGAGCUAACCAGGAACUCGUCAGACUAAGCGUCAUGUCGGUUAUGUGUUCUCCUAAGAAGACAAAGUAACACGGAAAGGGUUUUGAAAAAUGAAACCAAAGACUACAUCGCUGUCAAUGUUGUGAGCGAUCAAGACGGUAAGUAUGACUUGGCUAGGCCAGGUCAUGAAAUAACUUGACUCGCUUGAGUUCUGCCAUAGUCACUUGGAACCCGCGUGAAAGGUUGAGACUGACUCGUGACUCUGACAUAAGCGAGAGACUCCUCAUUCCGACGAACUUACCCUUGACUGAGAGGUGGACAGCACUGAGGGUUUGGCCCGCCGUAUUUGAUGCGGCGCACACGUAGACACCGUUAUCCUUCUGCUUGCAGUACAAAACCUUGAGCGUAAAGUAUCCUUCUCGAUCCUCGUACAGCAAAUAUCGCCUUCCAGACAGUAUCAGUCUUCCGUCUUUUCUCCAAAUGAUUUCCGGUUUGGGUUUUCCUGUCACAAAGCAUCUGAAUUUUGCGUGCUUCCCCUCCGUCACCGCAAACAUUUUCACUCUCGUCGACUUGGUCGUCAUCUGGUCUUUGUGCUGAUUGGGCAUCUGCCUGCUGAUCCUCUGUUUGCCUUGGUGACUUUUUCUGUUCCCGUUGUUGUAGCCGUUGCGGUUUGCGUCAUCCUCGUGCCCGGGGCCCGCGUCGACGAGCAACACGGCUCCCGCCAGCGCUUCCCCAAACUCGUUCCUCGCCUUGCAGGUGUACACGCCGCCGUCCGGUGCGCGAGUCUUAAAAAUCUUCAGCUGGAACCAUCCGCCGUCCUGGUAACUCACGCUGAAGUGAGUGCUUUCGAAUAUUUCGCUGAGCUUUUUGCCAUCCUUUUCCCAGGUCACCUCUGGUCGUGGACUUCCCCAGAGCUUACAGGAGAAGACAGCGUCAUCUCCGCGACCGGCUCGGGUGGAUAGAGGUUUGAUCAGGAAUCGCGGUUUGUUCUCCUCUCUUAACUCGAGCUCUUGCCCCUCGCCUUCGACCUUCAGUGUGGCCGCUGCGUACGUUUCGCCGAUGCUGUUCUUUGCUUUGCACAUAUACUGACCGCUGUCCUCCAUGGUCACGGCGCUUAUGAUCAGAUUGUAAACGUUGCCAUCCUCAAAGACGCGGUAUCGUCCCUGUGGGUCAAUCUUCUCAUUGUUCCUCUCCCAUAUGACUGCCGGUCUUGGAUCUCCGCCGAUCUGACACUUCAGCACUGCGUCAGUCCCGCUCUGUACACCGACAGGCCUGGGAUAGGCCAGGAAGCGCGGCGCGCCACCAAAUACGUCCAUCUUUGCCCCUGUCAGCCGAGCUUCUCCUCCGGCAGUUGGAGAGGGCCUAACUUGACAGUUAUUCACACGGGCCUGUGCAGUCCUAAUUUUUCAAAGACAUUUUUACCUUUGCCUCACUGGAAUGUGAGCCAAGAAGUCAAUCGCAGGGACCCAGACGUGUCCAGACCUGGCAGACAACCGCAACGUUGAAGCGAUCGUGCUGCAGGAUAGAAUCCAUCCAGGCAAAUGAAUCCCAAGCAAGCUGUAUGGACGUGUCUCUUGAUGAAUUUUAAAAAGCCUGUCUAAAUGUGCAUCCCCCCCACCCCCCAUCUUUGUGUUUCUUCUGUCAAUUGAUGCCGAGGAGGUCUUUUCAUCAUCUGUUCUUGUGUUUUCAGUUUCCAUUCAUUUGUUCUAUUUUGUUUGAAACGUGUUAUUUCCGGGUCUCCGUCGAU